rnacentral:rRNA from 1 species
CCCUGGCUCAGGAUGAACGCUAGCGGCAGGCUUAACACAUGCAAGUCGAGGGGUAUAGGUUUUCGGACCAAGAGACCGGCGCACGGGUGCGUAACGCGUAUGCAAUCUACCUUUUGCAGAGGGAUAGCCCAGAGAAAUUUGGAUUAAUACCUCAUAGUAUAGCAGUUUCGCAUGAAACCACUAUUAAAGUCACAACGGCAAAAGAUGAGCAUGCGUCCCAUUAGCUAGUUGGUAAGGUAACGGCUUACCAAGGCUACGAUGGGUAGGGGUCCUGAGAGGGAGAUCCCCCACACUGGUACUGAGACACGGACCAGACUCCUACGGGAGGCAGCAGUGAGGAAUAUUGGACAAUGGGCGCAAGCCUGAUCCAGCCAUGCCGCGUGCAGGAUGACGGUCCUAUGGAUUGUAAACUGCUUUUGUACAGGAAGAAACACUCCCUCGUGAGGGAGCUUGACGGUACGUAAGAAUAA